rnacentral:rRNA from 1 species
CCUACGGGAGGCAGCAGUAGGGAAUCUUUCACAAUGGGCGAAAGCCUGAUGGAGCAACGCCGCGUGCAGGAUGAAGGCUUUCGGGUUGUAAACUGCUUUUAUAAGCGAGAAAUAUGAUGGUAACUUAUGAAUAAGGAUCGGCUAACUACGUGCCAGCAGCCGCGGUCAUACGUAGGAUCCGAGCAUUAUCCGGAGUGACUGGGUGUAAAGAGUUGCGUAGGUGGGAUAAUAAGUAGCUAGUGAAAUCUGGUGGCUCAACCAUUCAGACUAUUAGCUAAACUGUUAAGCUCGAGACCGGUAGGGGUAAGUGGAAGUGCGAGUGUAGGAGUGAAAUGCGGAGAGAUUAGAAGGAACA